rnacentral:rRNA from 1 species
GCCUAGCCGUAAAUCUCGAUGCUUCCCCCACCAAAGCAUCCGCCUGAGAACUACGAGCACAAACGCUUAAAACUCUAAGGACUUGGCGGUGCCCCAAACCCACCUAGAGGAGCCUGUUCUAUAAUCGAUAAUCCACGAUACACCUCACCAUCUCUUGCAAGACAGCAGCCUACAUACCGCCGUCGCCAGUUCACCUCAUCAGAGCCCAGCAGUGAACACAACAGCCUCAACCCCGCUAAUAAGGCAGGUCAAGGUAUAGCCCACGAGAUGGCAGAAAUGGGCUACAUUCUCUAAAAUAGAGCAUCCACGAAAGAGAGCAUGAAAUCGCUCCCAGAAGGCGGAUUUAGCAGUAAAGCGGAACAAUAGAGCCCACUUAAAGCCGGCCCUGGAGCACGU